rnacentral:rRNA from 1 species
GACGAACGCUGGCGGCGUGCUUAACACAUGCAAGUCGAACGGAAAGGCCCCUUUGGGGGUACUCGAGUGGCGAACGGGUGCGUAACACGUGCGUAACCUGCCCUUGCCUUCGGGAUAACUUCAGGAAACUGGGGCUAAUACCGGAUAGGAAUCCUUGCUGCAUGGUUGGGGUUGGAAAGCUUCGGCGGUUUUGGAUGGACUCGCGGCUUAUCAGCUUGUUGGUGGGGUAGUGGCUUACCAAGGCUUUGACGGGUAGCCGGCCUGAGAGGGCGACCGGCCACAUUGGGACUGAGAUACGGCCCAGACUCCUACGGGAGGCAGCAGUGGGGAAUAUUGCACAAUGGGCGGAAGCCUGAUGCAGCAACGCCGCGGGCGGGAUGACGGCCUUCGGGUUGUAAACCGCUUUCAGCAGGGGCGAAGCUUGUGGUGACGGUACCUGCAGAAGAAGCACCGGCUAACUACGUG